CCGACAACGGGCCUGCGUCAGUGUCAGACAGAUCAGGCCACGACCGUGAGUGGCCAUAAAAUUGAUCGCUUCAGGGGUCACUUUCUCCGCGGCAAUGAUCA
rnacentral:antisense_RNA from 1 species